GUGUUGUAUGUAAGGAGUGAAGUUUAGCACUCCUUUUGAGAAGGAUGGAAAAGGUCCUAGUGGCCUUUACAAACACAUAUACUCUUAAGGCAUUGCCACCUACUUUGUGGUAUCUAGAAAUAUUUUUCU